UACGUAGGGGGCGAGCGUUGUCCGGAUUUAUUGGGCGUAAAGAGCUCGUAGGCGGUCUGUUGCGUCUGCUGUGAAAACUCGGGGCUUAACCCCGAGCCUGCAGUGGAUACGGGCAGACUAGAGGUAGGUAGGGGAGACUGGAAUUCCUGGUGUAGCGGUGAAAUGCGCAGAUAUCAGGAGGAACACCGAUGGCGAAGGCGGCCUUCUGGACAGUGACUGACGCUGAGACGCGAAAGCGUGGGGAGCAAACAGG
rnacentral:rRNA from 1 species